rnacentral:rRNA from 1 species
UACGUAGGCAGCAAGCGUUGUUCGGAGUUACUGGGCGUAAAGGGUGCGUAGGCGGUCCUAUAAGUAUGGUGUGAAAUCUCCCGGCUUAACUGGGAGGUGCGCUAUAGACUGUGGGACUAGAGUGUGGGAGAGGAAAGUGGAAUUCCUGGUGUAGCGGUGAAUGCGUAGAUAUCAGGAGGAACACCGGUGGUGUAAACGGCUUUCUGGACCAUAACUGACGCUGAGGCACGAAAGCGUGGGUAGCAAACAGG